rnacentral:rRNA from 1 species
UUGGCAGAAACAAGGCCAAUACGUACUCCAUGGCCCGCCAGAUUAUUACAAGCAAAAACUUAAAACUCAAAGGACUUGACGGUGUCCCACACACAACCUAGAGGAGCCUGUCCUGUAAUCGAUGAUCCACGAAGGACCUUACCACCUUUUGCCCAACAACCUAUAUACCGCCGUCGGAAGUUCACCUUAUGAGAGAAAAAAAGUGAACAAAAUAGUUCAACACUAGCACGUCAGGUCAAGGUGUAGUUAAUAGGGUGGCCAGAGAUGGGCUACAUUUCCUAUAAAGGAAAAACGAAUGGUCAAAUGAAAACUAACCAGAAGGAGGAUUUAGUAGUAAAACAGGAUCAUAAAGCCUGCUUGAACACACUGCCCUGGGACG